rnacentral:lncRNA from 1 species
UUUUUUUUGAGACUGAGUCUCGCUCUCUCGCCAAGCUGGAGUGCAGUGGCAGAUGUCAGCUCACUGCAGCCUCUGCCUCCCAGCCCCUCCAGGGCUUGCAGGACCUGGCGGGCCACACUCUUGGAGCCUUAGCUGAAGUGGCUGGGCAUGACGCUGUUUCUCUGACGGCCCUUGUAGAUCUUGGUCAUAGAGCCAACCCCAGCACCACCCAAGAGGAAUUUAUUUUCUGCACCAUACUUCUCUCCUUCUGGCCAGAAGCAAUUUGUAAUCCUGGUUCUCUGACUUGACCCUGGGCAGCCUUC